UACAUUAUUGCCUCAAAAAAAAUCAUGCGUAUCUGGUUCGACAGCUUCAGCCGAGGGGUUAGAGGUGUGUACUGCCACUGGGAGGGACUUAAUUAGUAGUGAUGUGCUGAAUUAUCGGUACCCAAUACUCGGUACCCAAUACUUGAAACAAAUUUCGGAACUCAAUGCAUCCAUUUCGGUACCCGAUACCGAUUCGAUACAUCAAACUUUCGCCACUAUAUUUAUACAAAAAAAAUUUAUUUCUGUUUUAUAUGACAUCGCCUAAAAAUCCAAACAGCUUUUCCAACUUCAAACACUCGGAUUCAAAUAAUAUGAAGAAAGUUAUUUUAUUUUUACCAAAAAUUAAUGAGAUUUAUAAAAGUUCAACCAUCCCUAUCCUACUAUGAGUUAAUAAAUUUUUUAAAUUUUGGUUAUAGAA